rnacentral:rRNA from 1 species
UACGUAGGGGGCGAGCGUUGUCCGGAUUCAUUGGGCGUAAAGGGUGCGUAGGCGGCGCGGUAAGUCGGGUGUGAAAUCUUGGAGCUUAACUCCGAAACUGCAUUCGAUACUGCCGUGCUUGAGGACUGGAGAGGAGACUGGAAUUUACGGUGUAGCGGUGAAAUGCGUAGAUAUCGUAAGGAAGACCAGUGGCGAAGGCGGGUCUCUGGACAGUUCCUGACGCUGAGGCACGAAGGCCAGGGGAGCAAACGGG